GGCUGAAUAGCUUAAUGGCAAGAGCAAGGCAAGCGAAAGACUCGGGUUCGAUUCCCGAUUCAGCGA
rnacentral:tRNA from 1 species